UUAAUUGAAGCUACUUUUUAGCUUUUCAUUGUUAAUGAAAAAAAAGGAUAAUUCAUUCAUUCCCAGUUAAA
rnacentral:tRNA from 1 species